UAGGAGGUCCAGCCUGCCCAGUGACAUCAGUUCAACGGCCGCGGUAUCCUGACCGUGCGAAGGUAGCGUAAUCACUUGUCUUCUAAAUUAAGACUAGUAUGAAAGGCAUCACGAGAGUCAAACUGUCUCCUCUCUCUAAUCUGUGAAACUAAUCUCCCCGUGAAGAAGCGGGGGUUUAAAUAUAAGACGAGAAGACCCUGUGGAGCUUCAGACAAAAAUACUGCUGCCCUCACCAGCAUCCUAGUAUCAAGUCUUAGGUUGGGGCGACCACGGAGUAAAAACUAUCCUCCAUGCUGAACAGGACCUCCUUAAACAAGAGCCACAGCUCUACGAAUCAACAAAUUGACACACUUGACCCAAUUACUUGAUCAACGAAACAAGUUACCCCAGG
rnacentral:rRNA from 1 species